rnacentral:rRNA from 1 species
GAUGAACGCUGGCGGCGUGCCUAAUACAUGCAAGUCGAGCGAACAGACGAGGAGCUUGCUCCUCUGACGUUAGCGGCGGACGGGUGAGUAACACGUGGAUCACCUACCUAUAAGACUGGGAUAACUUCGGGAAACCGGCGCUAAUACCGGAUAAUAUAUUGAACCGCAUGGUUCAAUAGUGAAAGACGGUUUUGCUGUCACUUAUAGAUGGUUCCGCGCCGCAUUAGCUAGUUGGUAAGGUAACGGCUUACCAAGGCAACGAUGCGUAGCCGACCUGAGAGAGGGAUCGGCCGCACUGGAGCUGGGACACGGUCCAGGCUCCUACGGGAGGCCGCAGUAGGGAAUCUUCCGCAAAGGGCGAAAGCCUGACGGAGCAACGCCGCGUGAGUGAUGAAGGUCUUCGGAUCGUAAAACUCUGUUAUUAGGGAAGAACAAAUGUGUAAGUAACUAUGCACGUCUUGACGGUACCUAGUCAGAAAGCCACGGCUAACUACGUG